UAGAAAAUAAUUUAAUUUCCACCAAAAUCUGAAAUUGCUCGCAAGUUUGGUUCCGGUAAGAAGUUCAAAAGAUUGGAACCAUAAACACAUAAAUCUUAUAGAUUAUGGAAAUUCAGUACACAUUCAUUUACAAAAUGGAAAACCAAUAUGCAACCUUAACUACACAAAUUUAACGAAAUUCACGCACCCCCAUGAAGAAGCAGAAACAAAGGGAGGAAAAGAAUUUGAAAAUAGCAACCUCUCUGGUUUCUGUUCACUCCGGUGGCCUGGUGAA
rnacentral:misc_RNA from 1 species